rnacentral:tRNA from 1 species
AAAAUCCGUCGACUUUAAAAAUCGUGAGGGUUCAAAUCCCUCUAUCC